AACGAACGCUGGCGGCGUGCCUAACACAUGCAAGUCGAGCGCGAAAGGAGCAAUCCGAGUAGAGCGGCGCACGGGUGCGUAACACGUGGAUAAUCUGCCUCAGGGUUGAGGAUAACCUUCCGAAAGGUUGGCUAAUACUCGGUAAGCUUACGGUGACUUCGGUCGCUGUGAGAAAACUAGACCUCUAUUUAUAAGUUUAGGCCCAGAGAUGAGUCCGCGGCCCAUCAGCUAGUUGGCGGGGUAACGGCCCACCAAGGCUACGACGGGUAGCUGGUCUGAGAGGACGAUCAGCCACACUGGAACUGAGACACGGUCCAGACUCCUACGGGAGGCAGCAGUGGGGAAUUUUCCACAAUGGGCGAAAGCCUGAUGGAGCAACGCCGCGUGUGUGAUGAAGGUCUUCGGAUCGUAAAGCACUUUCGACUGGGACGAAAAACCUUUGGCUAACAUCCAGGGGCCUGACGGUACCAGGAGAAGAAGCACCGGCUAACUCUGUGCCAGCAGCCGCUGUAAUAC
rnacentral:rRNA from 1 species